GGCGGAAGCAGAGUCGAUGGGAGAGUGGCGGCCGUCGAUCCCGCACCACAAGGACACGAAAGUGGCUAAAUAGUCUUUUGGUCUACUGGAACAUGAUGGGCAGAAAUUGCUGCCAGAUGUACUCCAACUGAAGAGAGAGAGAACCCUUGGGAUUUUAGAUAUAUUAUAUACUCAAUUGUAGACAGAGUAAUGUUGUCAUCUGCUCAUGAGGAGAACCUUCUCCUUUUACGUGUAUAACAGAAAUAUGUGGACUGUCUCCUGGAGUUCAGGAGUAUUUUUGCACACCUUUUGAACAAUCCAACUCUAUUGAAGACAAGGUCUGAAGGGCCAGGCUGUGAGAUGGAACAAAUGUGAGUCUGGGUGCUGGAUGAGACUUUUUUUUGUGUGAGGAGUUCUAAGUGAUCAGGACAGUCACAUAAGUUCCCUGUGACAUUUGAAGUAGAUCUGAAGAUCAUUGUUUCUAGGUUCAUCUAUAGGCUAUUAAUAUUACUUAUGGCUUGGGCCUGUUGAAUCUUCUUUAGAACUCUGGAAUUUAGAUGAACUGGUGGGGGGAAGUAUCAAGUCUCUUUUUUUUUUUAACCUAUUCAAGAAGAAAUGUGUUUGAUAUAGAUGUACUGUCCAUCCCUGCUCUUAAGAAAUACCUUUAGCAUUUGGUGAUGUGCUUCAUGGCAAACAGGUCUAGCUUUGGAUGACCUUAUGGGAAGAAAAUCCCAUCUACUAAUGAAUUUCAGAGACUACUCAUGUUGGUCGUACUGAUUUCUGCUCAGUGGGUCUUUUUUCUCUAGGUGAAUAGCUAUGGGAUAGAUUUUGUGAGGUUUGCACCUCUUGAAAUGUUUCAUGGUUUUCUUGUAGAAUUGGCUUGAGUGGAUAUCCUCUGUUUGUUCAAAUAAAACAUUGCUGUCAGCA